rnacentral:rRNA from 1 species
AAGCCUGAUGCAGCGACGCCGCGUGAGGGACGAAGGCCUUCGGGUUGUAAACCUCUUUCAGCAGGGAAGAAGCGAAAGUGACGGUACCUGCAGAAGAAGCGCCGGCUAACUACGUGCCAGCAGCCGCGGUAAUACGUAGGGCGCAAGCGUUAUCCGGAAUUAUUGGGCGUAAAGAGCUCGUAGGCGGUUUGUCGCGUCUGCUGUGAAAGCCCGGGGCUCAACCCCGGGUCUGCAGUGGGUACGGGCAGACUAGAGUGCAGUAGGGGAGACUGGAAUUCCUGGUGUAGCGGUGAAAUGCGCAGAUAUCAGGAGGAACACCGAUGGCGAAGGCAGGUCUCUGGGCUGUAACUGACGCUGAGGAGCGAAAGCAUGGGGAGCGAACAGGAUUAGAUACCCUGGUAGUCCAUGCCGUAAACGUUGGGCACUAGGUGUGGGGGACAUUCCACGUUUUCCGCGCCGUAGCUAACGCAUUAAGUGCCCC